rnacentral:rRNA from 1 species
AGCGAACGCUGGCGGCAGGCCUAACACAUGCAAGUCGAACGAACCUUUCGGGGUUAGUGGCGGACGGGUGAGUAACACGUGGGAACGUGCCUUUAGGUUCGGAAUAACUCAGGGAAACUUGUGCUAAUACCGAAUGUGCCCUUCGGGGGAAAGAUUUAUCGCCUUUAGAGCGGCCCGCGUCUGAUUAGCUAGUUGGUUGAGGUAAUGGCACACCAAGGCGACGAUCAGUAGCUGGUCUGAGAGGAUGAUCAGCCACAUUGGGACUGAGACACGGCCCAAACUCCUACGGGAGGCAGCAGUGGGGAAUCUUGCGAAAUGGGCGAAAGCCUGACGCAGCCAUGACGCGUGAAUGAUGAAGGUCUUAGGAUUGUAAAAUUCUUUCACCGGGGACGAUAAUGACGGUACCCGGAGAAGAAGCCCCGGCUAACUUCGUG